UACGUAGGGGGCAAGCGUUAUCCGGAUUUACUGGGUGUAAAGGGAGCGUAGGCGGCAGUGCAAGUCAGAAGUGAAAGCCCGGGGCUCAACUCCGGGACUGCUUUUGAAACUGUACAGCUUGAUUGCAGGAGAGGCAAGUGGAAUUCCUAGUGUAGCGGUGAAAUGCGUAGAUAUUAGGAGGAACACCAGUGGCGAAGGCGGCUUGCUGGACUGUAAAUGACGCUGAGGCUCGAAAGCGUGGGGAGCAAACA
rnacentral:rRNA from 1 species